rnacentral:rRNA from 1 species
UACGUAGGUGGCAAGCGUUGUCCGGAUUUAUUGGGUUUAAAGGGUGCGUAGGCGGUCCUAUAAGUCAGUGGUGAAAUACGGCAGCUUAACUGUCGAGGUGCCAUUGAUACUGCAGGACUUGAGUACAGUCGAGGUAGGCGGAAUUGACGGUGUAGCGGUGAAAUGCUUAGAUAUCGUCAAGAACACCGAUAGCGAAGGCAGCUUACUAGGCUGUAACUGACGCUGAGGCACGAAGGUGCGGGGAUCAAACAGG